rnacentral:rRNA from 1 species
GACGAACGCUGUCGGCGUGCUUAACACAUGCAAGUCGAACGGAAAGGCCUUUUCGGAGGUACUCGAGUGGCGAACGGGUGAGUAACACGUGGGUGAUCUGCCCUGCACUCUGGGAUAAGCCUGGGAAACUGGGUCUAAUACCGGAUAGGACCGCACUUUAGUGUGUGUGGUGGAAAGUUGUUUCGGUGUAGGAUGAGCCCGCGGCCUAUCAGCUUGUUGGUGGGGUAAUGGCCUACCAAGGCGGCGACGGGUAGCCGGACUGAGAGGUUGGUCGGCCACAUUGGGACUGAGAUACGGCCCAGACUCCUACGGGAGGCAGCAGUGGGGAAUAUUGCACAAUGGGCGCAAGCCUGAUGCAGCGACGCCGCGUGGGGGAUGACGGCCUUCGGGUUGUAAACUCCUUUCGCCAGGGACGAAGCGUUUUGUGACGGUACCUGGAGAAGAAGCACCGGCUAACUACGUGCCAGCAGCCGCGGUAAUACGUAGGGUGCAAGCGCUGUCCGGAAUUACUGGGCGUAAAGAGCUCGUAGGUGGUUUGUCACGUCGUCUGUGAAAUUCCACAGCUUAACUGUGGGCGUGCAGGCGAUACGGGCUGACUUGAGUACUGUAGGGGUAACUGGAAUUCCUGGUGUAGCGGUGAAAUGCGCAGAUAUCAGGAGGAACACCGAUGGCGAAGGCAGGUUACUGGGCAGUUACUGACGCUGAGGAGCGAAAGCAUGGGUAGCAAACAGGAUUAAAUACCCUGGCAGUCCAUGCCGUAAACGGUGGGCGCUAAGUGUAGGGGCCUUUUGGGGUUUCUGUGCCGUAACUAACGCAUUAAGCGCCCCCCCCUGGGGAAGUACGGCCGCAAGGCUAAAACUCAAAGGAAUUGACGGGGGCCCGCACAAGCGGCCGGAGCANGNGGAGCACAACGACGCAACGCGAAGAACGCGACCGGGGCANGACACACACCGGAGCGCAGCAGAGAAGCAGCCGCCCCAGAGGCGGGAGAACAGGCGGCGCACGGCAGCCGACAGCGCGGGGCGAGAGACGCAGGCGAAAGCCCCGCAACGAGCGCAACCCAGGACAGANGGGGCCAGCACGAGACGGCGGGGACACACGAGAGACGGCCGGGGGAAACCCGGAAGAAGGCGGGGACCAACGCAAGCCACCCGGCCCCGAAGGACCAGGGCCCCACACAAGCCACAACGGCCGGAACCAAAGCGCAGCGAGACCAGCGAGGGAGAGCCAAACGCGAAAAGCGGGCCCCCGACCAGAGCGGGGGCACGCACGCCACCCCCAGGAAGGCGGAACCGCAAGGAA